GUGACCAUCCUCAGUAAGAAGUAUAGAAGGGUUACUUAGACUAAUAAGAAGGCCGAGCCCACCGGCACUUAACACCAUCAUCAGCAGCACAAAGCUAUGACCUGAAAAAUAACAGGGAAUAAAACCCUGAGUAUGGAAUUACUCAGCAAGUCUCACCCGACUAAGAAAAAGACUCUCAAGGGUAUGCUGGAUAAAUAGGAAUCAAGGAGAGGCUUUAGCAAGAAUCAACUUAGAUACUUUUGCAGAAAUAGCUUACUAAAGUGAGUCCUUACUUUCAACAUUUUAACGCCAGAUUAAAUAUUAAUAGACUAUGUUUGCCUCUAGUCUAAUUUCAUCAUCUCAUCAAUACAACAUCAUUUUUAUUCAUGAAGUUCACAUCCUGACUUAGGUUGUAGGUCAGUGAUCAAGUCUCCACUCUCCGGGGAUAUAACGGCGAUCCGAAUCGAUUUACUCAGCUGAGGAUCUCUAACCACACAACAUAUGUAGCACUUAAUCCUUGCAUAUGUCAACUCGACCCCAGGGUUCUUAAGACCAGAUCAGGUUCACGCAAACCGAGAGCACAGAUACACCACCGUCCAGCCUCUUGCCACGGAGGGUACACGCUACUCUCGCCACCGCUCCACGCCCAUUUCGUGUUAUCUUAUUCUGGCCUUAGUCUGCCCGAGGCAAAGCUUACCCUGUCCCAUUUCCAGGGUAUGCGGCUAGCUAAGAUAGUCCUUGCGCUAGCAGGCCUACAUACGCAUCCAAUCCUUAAUCAACCUGGGUAGAACAUCACCUGUUCCUAACCCAAGUCUCGAUUUAAGUACUUCCAUCCUUAGGAUUUUUUCUGUUCCUUAGGAUGAAAAGAGCAUCACAGGGAGCUUUGCAGUAAGAUCCCACCAUGCUCUCAAUGAAAGUAUUCUUGCAGGUAGAAGCCAUCUUUCCUCAGGAUAACCUCUGAGCUAGGCAGUAUUGCAAAAGACAACCUCUAUCCACAAGAUCUAAGCAGGGCUAAGCAUUUUUGUAAAUCAAAUUUUGAUACUUCACCAGAAGUAUCUAUAAAGUUAUGGAUAUCAAGGAAGGCAAUGCAUCAAAGGGUUUCAAGCAACUCCUAUAAACCUAAUGCACAUUUCACUAGACUUAAGUGUGCGAAAAGUAUUUAAAACACAAGGAAGGGGUUGCAUGCACCGGGGCUUGCCUUCGUUGCAAAGACGGAGUUCUAGAUCCCUCUAUUAAACCCCAGUUAGAUGGCUCCCAUCACUUGAUGAGCAGUCACUGAAGCAGACUCCUCUUCAGAAACCACUUCUUGAAUUUCAUCUUCUUCUUCUUCUGGGAAUUCUACAUGUAAUGAUAUGAACAUGAAUGCAUAUACUUGUGCAACUACAAAGAAGAUACUUUAAAGCAGUACAAACUACACCUUACUAAAGGUGCACACAAAACUAACCAAACAACAGGGGAGCUAAAUAUUCUAAUAUCAUCACUAAGCUCUCAAACCAUACUAGGGAACUCUGCGUCCAUAACCAAGAACUCUAUGCUUGCCUUAAGUAAGGACUUACUUUUCUGAUUUGAAUCCUACAACUUGAACUUCUAGAGGAUUAGAACAAUCUUCAAACUACGCCAAAAAUCUAGAUCCCACUAGGCACUUUUGCUUCUUUAUCCAAAGAUCAGGUUUCACUUGUUAAACUUGUUCUUUUUUUUCCAAAAUUUCUAAUCCACAUGUGAUUAUGUUCUUCUUAUUAUUCCAAUUAGGGACUCUACAAGGAUUUCUGAGCAAAUGGCUUACAGACAGCACCAAACUUAUUUCUCUAUAAGAAACUUGUUCACCCAACACAGCUACAAAUCUCUUCUAUAUGGUCUUUAGCUUAUAACCAUACAUACCAAGCGUUAGGCUGCAUUAAAGUUGAGUAAACACAUGGAAAAUCCAUUUUCCCAAUCUGAAACAGCACAUUACUAGGUCUGACAGAGAGUUUUGUCACUCCUUUUUCUCCAAAUUCUGCACAAUAGCAAGCCAACGCUUUGCAUGAGACUUGCUCUCCUUUACAUGGUCUUUCACUUUGCUAUAGCAUUCUUACCCCAAUUUUUCUUGGAUUAAUUACCACAAGGACCCAAAACUGAAUAAAAACACACAAAUUCAGACUUAAAUAUUAUUCUAAGUCUGAAUCCUAACAUCUGACAGUCCACCUUUUGGCCACUUUUAUUUCCAAAUUUAUGUGGAACCAAGUCCACCUCACUUUACAAAACUUACUCUCUUUACUAUGGUCUCUAGAUUUGCUAUGGAAACUUUAAUCCAAAACCCCACGAAUCAGUCACAAAUGAAUUCCAAACUAGGCAUCCUGCUGUAAUUCAGUUCUCAGAACUGAAUAACAAAAUUCAGUUAUGUACAGUCUGACGGUCCAACUUUAGCCAACCCUUUUCUCCAAUUCCAAAUAGCUUCUAGGGUAUGGCCUUCAACCAAACCUGGUCUUCUAUUAUAGCUCUAUUGCUUUGCUAUAAGAGACCUAAUUUAAUUCCCUACAGGUUAGCCACUACAAAGGUACAAACAUGGCUAAAGUUUACUGAAAUUCAGAAUUAGCCAAUUAGCUAAGUCUGAAACCCAGAAGUUGAUGAUCCACUUUUGAGCAAGCUUUACUCUCAGUUCUAUAUAGUUUUUGGAUCAGAUCGCUUAAUCAAACUUGUACUCCAACAACAGAUCUACAACUUUGUUAUAGUGGUCAUAAGCUAUAAAUUUAUGGAUAGAGCAGCAAAGAGCUCCAAAGCUGCACCAAAACAUACAAAUUCAGACUCUGAAUUUGCACUAAGUCUGAAAUCUGAUAACCCUAAUGUAGACCCACUUUUACUCCAAUUUUCAUAUAACAUGCAACAAAACUAUCUUAAGGAGAUUUGUUCACCAUCAUAUGAGCUUCUCUAUCUUAUGUAGAGCACAAAACAUGUAUAGCUUGGCUAAGGAAACCUUGAAAUUACCUAGCCACGGUGAGAAGAGCACUCGGGUUGCAUGGUCACCAUGGUCACAUGAUGCACUCGCUGGCUGAAGCAAACUAGGUAGCUGUGGGGAAGGUUAACAUCAGCAAAACCCCAGGAUCCCCACGCCCACAUAGUGGAC
rnacentral:lncRNA from 1 species